rnacentral:lncRNA from 1 species
UGAGCAGCCACUAUCCAAGUACCAACAGUUUUUGUCGACUUUGGCUGCAAGACACUCCUACAAAAGAAAAUCAUAUAAUUUUAGGUACCCAAGUUUUCUUGGGUCCUUCAAGAUUAGUAAAGUUGGUUCCUUUUGGAACCCAAACCUUUUUAUUUUUUCUUUUAGCUCCUACCUUCCUAUGGUCACACACAUUAGCUUUAUGUCCUACCUUUCCACAGCAAAAACAGGUUAUAUUCUUAAUUUUACUUUCCCCUGCUUUCACAAAAAAUUACUAAGGAGCUUUUGCUUAUUCUUAGGUUUGUAUCCUAAACCAGUUCUAUUAAACACAGCUCGUUGAUUGUUAAGUAUCAUUUCCAAUUUUUCAGAACUAUAUGUAAACUUUUCAACAA